CAAGGCAUAGCUUAACGGUAGAGCGGUUGAUUUUCACUCAAUGGUACAGGUUCGAAUCCUGUUGCCUUGCCCU
rnacentral:tRNA from 2 species